rnacentral:rRNA from 1 species
AACGAUGCAUACUAGGCAUUAAGAGAAUCGACCCUUUUAGUGUCGGAGCUAACGCGUUAAGUAUGCCGCCUGGGAAGUACGGUCGCAAGACUAAAACUCAAAGGAAUAGACGGGGAUCCGCACAAGUGGUGGAGCAUGUGGUUUAAUUCGACAAUAAGCGAGGAACCUCACCAGGGCUUGAAACUUAGCUGCAUUAUCUGGAAACAGAUAAGCCUUCGAGGGUGCUAAGCAGGUGCUGCACGGUUGUCGUCAGCUCGUGUCGUGAGAUGUAUGGUUAAGUCCAGUAACGAGCGCAACCCCUAUGUGGUGUUAAAUUUUUCACCACAGACUGCCCUGGUUAACAGGGAGGAAGGCGGGGAUGACGUCAAAUCAGCGUGGCCUUUAUGUCUUGGGCGACACGCAUGCUACAAUGGGUAGGAACAAAGGGUUGCAAUACUGCGAGGUGGAGCUAAUCCCUAAAAACUACCCCCAGUUCGGAUUGCAGGCUGCAACUCGCCUGCAUGAAGCCGGAAUCGCUAGUAACCGUAGAUCAGCCAUGCUACGGUGAAUACGUUCUCGGGUCUUGUACACACCGCCCGUCACACCACGAAAGUCAGGGGCGCCCGAAACUCUUCUUUAUGAAGAACUAAGGUGAAACUGAUGAUUGGGGUGAAGUCGUAACAAGGUAUCCGUACGGGAACGUGCGGAUGGAACACCUCCUUU